GCCAGGUGUGGUGCCUCAUGCCUGAAAUCCAAGCGGCUUGGAGGCUGAGGCAAGAGGAUUAUGAAUUCCAAGCCAGCCUCAGCAACAGUGAGGUGCUAAGCAACUCAGUGAGACCCUGUCUCUA
rnacentral:sRNA from 1 species